GAGAAGGGUCUGGCUGCAGACCAUGGGCGAGUGGAGCUCCACUCUCAAACCGGAAAUACGUCACCUCCACUUGAAAACAUCAAGAUGGCGUCGCGGGGAGUACUUCAAACUUAAACUCAGGGAUAGGAUUGGCAUAGAAGAUGCAGCACUCUUUACAUUUUAAAUGUAUGUUGCCACCUUAGAAGUCAAGGUCUUUUUACAUGUGACAUUAACAUAUUUAUUUUUUCUAUUUUGUUGUUCUGUUAUUCUAUUGUUUUACUUUUUUUGUUUCCGAUCAAAUGUAUAUCAAGUGUUAUCCAUCCUCAUAACACCUCCACAAAUAGAGACUGAAACUUCUGAGCACCAUCACCUUGUCUGCUAUGGGACUGUCAUAGCCCAGCAAUCAGAUGCAUCAGAACAACAAAGCACAACUGUGGUGGCCCAGGCACCUUCAGCAACAAAGAUUUAACAACACUGUCAGUCAGGAGCAUAUUUAACAGGAGCCACACUCAACUGGCUUGAUGGUGACUUCAGUGCAGUGAAGAUAUUUAAAGAGACACUAUCUAAAGUACAGAAAGCCGUACAUCAUCUCUAGGUGCAGUCACCUACAGUGCAGCCAGCUUCACAAAGACUGUGGGGCUGGUCACCAGGAAAAUGGCCAACAAGGAGUGCUUUUGGGGUUUUACUCCUCAGAUGACCACCCUGGCUACUGUAGCUGGGAUUGCUUCACAGACGAUGGAGGUCUUGAAGAGUAAAGUGUGCGUGCGUGUGAACACAUUGUGUUAUUACAGUAACAAUUAUGGUCACUUGCAAGUUCAUGUGUUUUCAAUGUAGUGUAAGAUGUGUUAAUUAUUAUUAUUACUCAAAAACCAUUAAAACUUCUAAAUUGUGGAAGUUAUUCUUCA